GGAGGAGUGGCAGAGUGGUCUAUUGCGACGGUCUUGAAAACCGUUGUACCGCAAGGUACCGUGGGUUCGAAUCCUACCUCCUCCGCCA
rnacentral:tRNA from 1 species